rnacentral:rRNA from 1 species
AGCAGUCGCCACGGGAAUACAGAGGGUGCGAGCGUUAAUCGGAUUUACUGGGCGUAAAGCGUGCGUAGGCGGCUUCUUAAGUCGGAUGUGAAAUCCCUGAGCUUAACUUAGGAAUUGCAUUCGAUACUGGGAAGCUAGAGUAUGGGAGAGGAUGGUAGAAUUCCAGGUGUAGCGGUGAAAUGCGUAGAGAUCUGGAGGAAUACCGAUGGCGAAGGCAGCCAUCUGGCCUAAUACUGACGCUGAGGUAUGAAAGCAUGGGGAGCAAACAGGAUUAGAUACCCGUGUAGUCCCUGUCUCUUAUAC